rnacentral:rRNA from 1 species
GACGAACGCUGGCGGCGUGCCUAAUACAUGCAAGUCGAGCGGAAGUUGGAGAGCUUGCUCUUCAACUUUAGCGGCGGACGGGUGAGUAACACGUGGGCGACCUGCCCUGCAGAUCGGGAUAACUCCGGGAAACCGGUGCUAAUACCGAAUAGUUUUCGCCACCUCCUGGUGGCGUACGGAAAGACGGUUUCGGCUGUCACUGCAGGAUGGGCCCGCGGCGCAUUAGCUAGUUGGUGGGGUAACGGCCCACCAAGGCGACGAUGCGUAGCCGACCUGAGAGGGUGAUCGGCCACACUGGGACUGAGACACGGCCCAGACUCCUACGGGAGGCAGCAGUAGGGAAUCUUCCGCAAUGGACGAAAGUCUGACGGAGCAACGCCGCGUGAGUGACGAAGGUUUUCGGAUCGUAAAACUCUGUUGUGAGGGAAGAACAAGUACCAACUAACUACUGGUACCUUGACGGUACCUCACCAGAAAGCCACGGCUAACUACGUGCCAGCAGCCGCGGUAAAAC